AGUGCCCCGUCGUAUACUCGAGACACACGCGCCGGAUCAGAUACAAGCGCGUGGACAGGUAUAGCGGCUGCGGGGCCCACACGGAAUGAAUGGUGCCUUCAAUCUCACCCCUUCAUUUUUCUCCGGCCUUCCUGCUCUUUCUUUCUUGCAUGCUAGGGUUGUAAAUUGCGAUCGCUUUCUUCGUCUUCCUUGAUCCAUGGAUGCCUUGGAUUCCGUCGUCGAUCCCUUGCGGGAGUUCGCCAAGGACAGCGUCCGUCUCGUCAAGAGAUGCCACAAGCCCGAUCGCAAGGAAUUCACGAAGGUGGCGGUACGCACGGCGAUCGGAUUCGUGGUGAUGGGAUUCGUGGGGUUCUUCGUGAAGUUGAUCUUUAUCCCGAUCAACAACAUCAUAGUCGGAUCCGGCUAGAAUAAGAGCCGUUCUAAGAAGAGAUCGUAGAGAAAUGAUACAUGUGCCAGUACAUAAGCUCCAGUUUCUUUUGACUCUACGAAGGACGAUUUCAUUAAUACUAAGAAUCUUUUUGUCCACAUUAGACAUUUAAGGGAAGCUGGUUGGCUUUGUAGUCGCUUUCUUAGGGAUUUUUUUUUUUUUUUUUAUUAAUGUGAGUUUACCGUAUACAUCAUUUUUGUGGUUAACUCCAUUUACUUGAAUUUGAUCAGGCAUCAAUCACUGUUUAAAUCUUAAUAAUUUAUCCUUGGUGAAGUAGCAGGCAUCUAGGUGUUGCUGAUUGGGAUUCAUACGGAUUGGGAUUUUUCCCUAACGAAGUGAUGUUUUUCUAUCA